UACGUAGGGUGCAAGCGUUGUCCGGAAUUAUUGGGCGUAAAGAGCUCGUAGGCGGUCUGUCACGUCGGCUGUGAAAUCCCGAGGCUCAACCUCGGGUCUGCAGUCGAUACGGGCAAACUAGAGUAUUGCAGGGGAGACUGGAAUUCCUGGUGUAGCGGUGAAAUGCGCAGAUAUCUGGAGGAACACCGGUGGCGAAGGCGGCAUCCUGGACCGGUAUUGACGCUGAGGAGCGAAAGCCAGGGGAGCAAAGCGGG
rnacentral:rRNA from 1 species